rnacentral:rRNA from 1 species
GCCGAGAGGCUGACAGCCAAGUAGCGUGGAGGAUGACUGCCCUACGGGUUGUAAACUCCUUUUAUAAGGGGGUAAAGGCGUCUACGUGUAGAUGUUUGCAAGUACCUUAUGAAUAAGCAUCGGCUAACUCCGUG